rnacentral:rRNA from 1 species
CGAGCGGAUGAGUGGAGCUUGCUCCAUGAUUCAGCGGCGGACGGGUGAGUAAUGCCUAGGAAUCUGCCUGGUAGUGGGGGACAACGUUUCGAAAGGAACGCUAAUACCGCAUACGUCCUACGGGAGAAAGCAGGGGACCUUCGGGCCUUGCGCUAUCAGAUGAGCCUAGGUCGGAUUAGCUAGUUGGUGGGGUAAAGGCCUACCAAGGCGACGAUCCGUAACUGGUCUGAGAGGAUGAUCAGUCACACUGGAACUGAGACACGGUCCAGACUCCUACGGGAGGCAGCAGUGGGGAAUAUUGGACAAUGGGCGAAAGCCUGAUCCAGCCAUGCCGCGUGUGUGAAGAAGGUCUUCGGAUUGUAAAGCACUUUAAGUUGGGAGGAAGGGCAGUAAGUUAAUACCUUGCUGUUUUGACGUUACCAACAGAAUAAGCACCGGCUAACUUCGUGCCAGCAGCCGCGGUAAUACGAAGGGUGCAAGCGUUAAUCGGAAUUACUGGGCGUAAAGCGCGCGUAGGUGGUUUGGUAAGAUGGAUGUGAAAUCCCCGGGCUCAACCUGGGAACUGCAUCCAUAACUGCCUGACUAGAGUACGGUAGAGGGUGGUGGAAUUUCCUGUGUAGCGGUGAAAUGCGUAGAUAUAGGAAGGAACACCAGUGGCGAAGGCGACCACCUGGACUGAUACUGACACUGAGGUGCGAAAGCGUGGGGAGCAAACAGGGAUUAGAUACCCUGGUA